AUUGAACGCUGGCGGCAGGCCUAACACAUGCAAGUCGAGCGGAGCGGCGGACGGGUGAGUAAUGCCUAGGAAUCUGCCUGGUAGUGGGGGAGAACGUCCGGAAACGGGCGAUAAUACCGCAUACUACCAGAUGAGCCUUGGCCGGAUUAGCUAGUUGGUGGGGUAAAGGCCUACCAAGGCGACGAUCCGUAACUGGUCUGAGAGGAUGAUCAGUCAAACUGCAACUGAGACACGGUCCAGACUCCUACGGGAGGCAGCAGUGGGUAAUAUUGGACAAUGGGUGAAAGCCUGAUCCAGCCAUGCCGCGUGUGUGAAGAAGGUCUUCGGAUUGUAAAGCACUUUAAGUUGGGAGGCGUUACCAGCUGAAUAAGCACCGGCUAACUUCGUGCCAGCAGCCGCGGUAAUUC
rnacentral:rRNA from 1 species